AACGAACGCUGGCGGCAUGCCUAACACAUGCAAGUCGAACGAGACCUUCGGGUCUAGUGGCGCACGGGUGCGUAACGCGGGGGAACCUGCACUUAGGUUCGGAAUAACUCCCCGAAAGGGGUGCUAAUACCGGUUAAUGUCUUCGGACCAAAGAUUUAUCGCCUUUGGAUGGGCCCGCGUUGGAUUAGCUAGUUGGUAGGGUAAAAGCCUACCAAGGCGACGAUCCAUAGCUGGUCUGAGAGGAUGAUCAGCCACACUGGGACUGAGACACGGCCCAGACUCCUACGGGAGGCAGCAGUGGGGAAUAUUGGACAAUGGGCGAAAGCCUGAUCCAGCAAUGCCGCGGGAGUGAUGAAGGCCUUAGGGUUGUAAAGCUCUUUUACCCGGGAUGAUAAUGACAGUACCGGGAGAAUAAGCUCCGGCUAACUCCGUG
rnacentral:rRNA from 1 species